AUCCCGGGCUGGGCUGCAGGACGGGCAGAGCCCCGCGGGCAGCAGCCGAAGCCCUGCCCGCCCACAGGCGCCCAGCACUCGCAGCCCGGGCCAGCCCCCGAGCGGCCCCGGGGCGGAGCUGGCGGCGCCGGGCGGCGGCGGCGGGGAGGAGGCGCCGCGGGCGGAGCAGAGCCGGGGCUGGCGGGGGCAGCGCGGCGCGGGCGGCGGAGCGGCGGGAUGCGGCAGGGCCGGGCCGCAGGGCUGGCGGCGCUGGCCGCGGUGCUCCUGGUGGCUGUGUGCAGAGCCCAGGUGCAGCAGGAACCAUGGGCAGAGACCAGGGAGGGCACCAGCAUCAAUAUCACCUGCUCACACCCCAACAUCCAGACUGGUGAAGUCAUCCACUGGUACCGCCAUCUCCCGGGCCAAGGACCCGCAUCCCUAGUGUUCGAAACCACGGGGCAGGUGUCCGUCACCCAGGAAGAAGGACAAGUCUCCGUGAAGCAGGGAAACACCUUCCAGACCAAUUGCACAUAUGAAACCUCCAGAUUUUAUGGCUUGCUCUGGUACGAGCAGAAGAAGGGACAAGCCCCUCAACUGAUUUCUUAUCAAGCAGGAGCAGGCACCAAGCAGAGGGACCGUUUCACCAUGGAGCUAAACACUGAGGAGAAAUCCAGUGUUCUGCGUCUGAAGGAAGUCAAGCUUUCUGACAGCGCCUUGUACCUCUGUGCUGUGAGUGACACCCUGCUGCACAGAGCUGCCCUGGCUGUGCAACAACACCGGUGAGGGAAAGGAUGUACCUGUGCAAGGCAUAGGUCUGUGAUGGGGCCCUCAGCUCUCCCCUUGCAGCACUGUUUCACAUGUUCACUCCAUGACCUGCCAGCCAGAUCCUCUUUCCCAGACAGGCUGGUGUAUGUGGCUGUGUGGAGAUUGCUGAUCCUGACUGGGUGACAUGGACCACAUGGUCCUUUCCUCCCUUCGCAGGCUGCCGGAAUAGGACAGAGCCUGCUGGGAAACAGAACUCCCCUGGGGGAUUGCUCUCAGCCCCUCAGCCCCAGGUUGAGUAAAUUCCUGCCAGCCCAUGAUAAAGCUGCUUGCUUCAAGCCCUGUCCAGCCCAGCCCAGAGACCCCUAGAAGUAACUCUGACAGAGAUUUGCAGGGUUCUUCCCUCUCUUCAAUGAGUCAGUCAGUAAAGUGCAUUUGCACCCCAGCCACCAGGUUAUCUCCAGACCUUCAGCCAGUUCAUGUCCAAAGCCUGGACCAAAGAACAGGACCUUUGGGACUGAAUACCUUCUUCUGAGCUUAACAGACCAUUGUGGCUGGCACAUCAUCCUCUUUGUCAUUAUCUUCUCCUCAUCUCUGAAGGCGAUGGGGAAUGGCCUCCGUUUGUCACUGUGGGGAGUGACCACCACCCGCUGAAUACCCCAAUUCACUUUUUACUCAGCACGCUCACCUUCUUGGAGAACUUGUACUCCACCACCAUUGCUCCCCAAACACUGGAGACUUUCCAUGUCAUCAGGUGAACCAUUUGUGUUUCCAGCUGCCUGGCAUAUAUAUUUUUUCCCCUUCUCCAGGGUAUCACUGAGUUUCUCAUUUUCACAAUGUUGCUCUCUGAUUGCCACACAUGAGGCAUUGCAUUAUAC